AAACUAUUUUUUGUGUUUUGAAAACACAGUUGGGAUUUUGGGAUCUGUAGUUUG
rnacentral:tRNA from 1 species